AUUAUCCUCUCUGAUGCAAAUGUUCCUGGUGAAGGGGAAUACAAGGUUAUGUCUUACAUUCGUCUUCAGAGAAAUCUUCCUGGUUUUGAUCCAAAUACACGCCAUUGCCUAUAUGGUUUGGAUGCACAUCUGAUUAUGAUGGCAUUGGCUACCCAUGAAGUUCAUUUUUUAAUUCUUAGAGGCUGUUCUCCCUCCUGCUCAACAAGACAAAUGCCUUUUAUGUAAUCAGAUGGGCCAUUUAGCGGCAGAUUGUGAAGGAAAGAACAAGAGCAAGACUGAAAAAUUAGAUGAGAAAGGUGAAGCUAUUGUUGAAAAAAAACCGUAUCAGUUUCUCAACAUUUGGACUCUAGGAGAAUAUCUGGAAAUGGAAUUCAGAAUCUCAAAUCCUCCAUUUAAGUUCGAUCUUGAAUGCAUUGUAGAUGAUUUCAUUUUCAUGUGUUUCUUCUCUGGCAAUGAUUUUUUGCCACAUCUGCCAAAUUUGGAGAUUCGUGAGAUCUGUGAACAUUGACCUUCAAUUAUGAAGGAAAUUCAUCCAUGCAUUGACUGCUAUAUUAAUUGCUUUUUGCUCUAACUCUAAAAUUCUCUCCAUUUGUUCUUCCUCCGGUGCUUCCUUUCCAAUAACCUCAUCAAUCAAUUGUAACUUCAGAUCGAAAACUUUCUUCCCCUAAAGAUUCUUCGGUCUCCUCCCCAGUUUUGAGAAUUGGUGUACAUUAGCUAGAGAAGCUUAACUAGGGUUCAAAUGCUCUGUUCUUUAAUUUUAUAUGUGAUUUGUCCUGCAACUUUCUUAUAUGACUGGAUGCAGUUUAAAUGCUAAUUCUUAUUUGUUUAUUGAAAUAACAUUGCUAACUUUGCAACUUAUCAGCUGGCGUGGCAGAGGUGUCUUGGAAGACAAAGGAAAAGUCCAAAAAAAAUUGGAUUAAGAAACAAAGAAUUUUCGCGCCGCGAAAUAAAGCUAAAGAAGAUGCAUUUCGGGAAGCUAAUAAGAAGCUAUUUCAGGAGGCAGUAAAAAAACGAGAAAAACUCAGGGAAGAAUAUUAUAGCAAUCCAGCUAAUCCACGUCUGAAACCAUGUGAAGAACCUGAGGAAUGGAUCUCUUCUGAGCGUGAUAUGACGAAAGAAGAGAAUGAAAGAUAUGCCCGACAAGUCAUAGAGAGCGAUGUUGCACUACAAAAAACAAGAUCAAAGGGGACAAAAUUUAGGGACCAUAAUAUUUAAAUGGUCCCUAAAAGUUAUAACUCAAUAAAAAUGGGGACUAAUCGAUAAGUUGUCUCCAAAUCAUUUAUCAUACAACUAUUGGGGACGGAGAUAGUGAAUUACCUAUGAUUUUAUAUGAAAUAGUAAUUCAAGUAGAAUAGGAGACAAAACACAUUCAACCUAGCAAAAAAGCCACAGACUUUUUCUUUUCUUGCGCCGGCUAAAUAGACAAAAGUAUGAGACUCUAAAAGUUCAUUCACCCAAGCUUAAAUGUUCUACUCGAAUUCAUCUGGGAUACUUUUAUCGAUUUCAAGGUUCUCCAUCCUCUCGGUUCCCUUCAACUCGUAAUGUGGUAUUGCAUAGUUGAGCUAUUAUUUUAUAAUUAUGUUUGUUCUUGUAGCUUCAUGUCUUUUCAUCAUUUUCUCUAGUUUGAUAUGCUUGUAGGUUUCAAUUCACAAUCAUAGUCAUUUGACAAGCUCAUAUUGUGCCAUUGCUUGGUUUCUAUAAUUUGCCAAUUCUCAAUUCUAAGUCAAUUAGUAACCUGCAGCAACAUGAUGGCAGAUAAGCUUUUUUUUUUCUUUGGACUCUAAUUAUUUCUUAGAAGCUGACUUUUCAUUCUUUUCCAUACUUGAGUUGUUACUAACAGACUCCCUAGGUUAAUGCAUUGUGUAUAUGUCUUAGCUUCUUAUCAUUGUUCUCCAAUUAAAUUCAUAUCCAUAUUGAGAGAAUCUUUUGGUUCAUAUACUGUGUAGGUAGUAAUAAUGAUAGAAAAAAACCUAUCUUGUACCUUAAUAAGGUUCUCUAAGCUAAAUUUAUAUAUUCAUUUGACUCAAAUAAUAUGUAUCAGCGGCCAUCUAUUAUAUGUUGGAAAAUUGGAGUGAGAUGGACAAGGAGAAUGCAAAUGAUGACAUCUUAAAAUACCAAGUAUGUUUGAUUUUUCAUUUUGUAAGUUUUAAUCUUUUUUGUUUUAGAUUAUUUUACAGUCUCUCUGUUUCGGUCAUAUGAUGGUGGAUUCGGGAUGGUUCCUAGCUCAGAAUCUAAAGGACGAUGUGUAAUCAGGCAAAAGAAUAUCAUUCAUUUUCAUGAAGACUUCUCAGCAAGCUAAUAGUACUUUUAAUUUUUUUAAAUAAAUUUUAAUGGAUUAAUUUUUAGCUACGUACUUCUUCUUUUUUGAACUCAGCAAUGUACUUUUCUUAUGUUGGACAUAAUUUUAAAAUCAAUGGAUUAUUGUUUUCAUUA